CAGGUAACUUAUUCAACCAAUGCUUUUAUAUGAUUUUACAUUGCGUCGAUUGAGCUGAUGAACUCACUGAAAUGCUGAUUCCGUAUGUUUCUUUAGAACCUAAUGACAAGGAUUCCUUUAGUGUAGUUUCCGGCCCUUAUGGUUGUUUAUGUUUGUCAUCUUUGCUUUUUUUUUGUUACUCUUCUGAAUGAGUAUUUUGCCAACCCCGUGUAUCUUCUAUACUUUCUCCCGCAUGCCUCAAGUGAACGAAAUCAUUGUAGUUUGUGAUCUGUCCUACAGGGAUGUUAUUGAAGGACCCAUUCCUCUCUUUCUAACGUGCAGUUGCCUCUUUGACGUGUAUUUCUGUUGGGUGUAGUGCAGUAGAACACAUGUAUUCUGAUUUGGUUUCAGUUGUGUUCUCAGAUGCCAAGCAUAAGAUCCAGACGGAACUCAAAUUCACCCUAUCUGGGAAGGAAAGACAAGAUUCUGUCUACAGUGGAUUCCAGGUGCACGCACAUCAUUGUUUUGUCUUGUGAAAAGUCACUCAGUUGUAGCGUACAAUUCAACCUACCUACUUAACACAUUAUUCUGAAGUCUUCAUUCUACUUCAUCCCUAUGUUGGUUGGCACUAGCUAUCACAAUAUUUGAAACUAAGAAGGCCGUCUGGUUAUUUUGUUGGAUAUGCUCCUUUUUAAUGGAAACAAAAUUUCUUAUUUGUCAACAUCACUCUUGUGCAUUGGGGUGUCAUCUAUGCUGCCUCUGUAAUGAUGGAGAAUAGAAAGAAAGCACACUCCCCUCUACAACACAUUUCACUCUUAGACUUCUUCUCUAGAACAUUAAAGGGAAUUGGUGGUGCGAGUGUGAAAAAUAUUGAUAAUAGUGUGAAACUCACCCUCCUUUUGUCUUACUUUAAUGGCUAAGCAUUCAUCAUAUGCAUGUUUCCAGACGAAAGAAUGCCUGCUUAAUAGCUGAUUAUGAAUUUAACUUUUCUCCGCGUUUGUAAAUUCGUUGUAGCAUACAAGUCAACUGAAGUUUUUGUUUUUUGUUUUUUUUUUGGAUAAAAAAAUUAGUAUUUUCAAUAGGUGAUCUUCAACUGAACUGUAUUAUUGGAAAAUGAGGAUGUGUAAGUAUGGAUAACUUAUCACCAGAUGCAACUCUGUCUUCAGGCUAUUAAUUUGACCUCUGAACUUUUUUGCAUCCAUGAUUCUGCAAGACCUCUGGUAUCAUCAGGAUUCAGGAGGUGUUGAGAAGGUCAGACUUACCUUACUUGUAUAUCUAAUUCAUUCACGUUAUUCUCUUUUGAGUUUUGACAUUCUAUAUAAAUAGACCACCAUUUGGUGUGUAAAUCGCUAUGCGUUGUGUCAAAGGUAUAGAGAAAUACUGCUUAUAUAAAGGCAUCACUGUUUGGAACUAUUAUAUAAAUGUUUUUACACAUCCUUACUGUAGUGCAGAAUGGGUUGGUGGUUGUGAAUUCAGUUAUUUUGGUGUAUUCUUGGAGGUUAUACGUGAAGUCAGAUUUCUUCACUGUCACUACUGCUAAUGGUUGCUUUUCAGUUAAAUCUGCCAACAACUCCCUUUAUGAUUUCUGAUAUUCUCAUAAUUCUCAAUGGAAGUUGAUUUGGAAUCUUGAUAUUCCUCCCAAGCUGAAAACUUUCCUUUGGACUAUGCUUCAUAAAAAGCUGUUAACUAAUGUUCAAAGGGUCACUAGAAGAUUUACCAAUGAUGCUGCGUCCUAUAUGCCACUCUGCUGAUGAAACUCUUCUGCAUCUUCUAAGGGAUUGUCCUAGAUCUAUGCAGAUUUGGAGAGCUUUCCCUAAGCGCUGGUAUAAUUUCUAACUCUUUUUCCCUGGAUUGGAAUGGUUGGAUAAAUGCUCAGCUGCAUUGCCAUGCUUUUGUUAAAAAUAAUAUCAUGGAUUUCUGUUCCUUCUUCCUUCACCAUCUUCAAUUUGGGAACAGAGAAAGUUGUCAAGAACCGGUAAGCUCUGCUUCUUUCUCCUCUAAAUCAGUGUCAUCAAUGAUCUUUUGAAAUCUUCAUAUCUAUGGCCUUAUAUUGAAUCUUAAUUUAAGCCAUGUGAAAACAUUAUGGGAUCACUUUUGCUACAUACAUGUGUAUGGAAGUCUUUGAAUUUUACCUUUUUUCAGAUUAUUAUAUUUGAUCCCAUGAUUGUUUACUUAUUUUUGAGUCUCUUAACAGUGAAUAUAUUUUGCAAGCAGCUGUUCUUAUGUGUGUGUGUGUGGGUUUGUGGGCUGGACUUAUCAUCGAUUUUUGUAACAGAGUAUAAUACCAAUAACGUGUACAGGGAACUGUAUACUCAUUAUGUGGAACUUGUUCCUCUAUCAAUCGUUUAAAUUUUGAAUUAUUCUACUGUAUACUCAGUAUGCGGAACUUGUUCUUCUUUCAAUCGUUUAAAUUUUCAGUUAUUCUGAUUUGGGUAAUGCAGAAACCGGAGUCUGUAAUAGUGAAAGAGAGAAGCAUUUCGGUGAUUCUUUUGGCCGGUGGGAAGGUACAAGGAUGGGAGUCCUCUUUUGUCACCAUUUUGAUACAUCAACUAGUUUUUUUGGAGUGUGACGAGGCCUUUUUGUUAUGUUGGUGCAACUAGGUCAGUAUGCUGAAACAGUAUCUCCCGCUUUUAAGCUAGCCAAUUGCAUUGUGCUGGUAGCUUAUUCAACCAAUGCUUUUAUAUGAUUUUACAUUGCGUCGAUUGAGCUGAUGAACUCACUGAAAUGUUGAUUCCGUAUGUUUCUUUAGAACCUAAUGACAGGGAUUCCUUUAGUGUAGUUUCCGGCCCUUAAGGUUGUUUAUGUUUGUCAUCUUUCCUAUUUUUUCUGUUAUUCUUCUGAAUGAGUAUUUUGCCAACCCGGUGUACCUUCUAUACUUUCUCCCGCAUGCCUCAAGUGAAGGAAAUCAUUGUAGUUUGUGAUCCGUCCUACAGGGAUGUUAUUGAAGGAUCCAUUCCUCUCUUUCUAUCAUGCAUUUGCCUCUUUGACGUGUAUGUCUGUUGGGUGCAGUGCUGUAGGACACAUGUAUUCUGAUUUGGUUUCAGUUGUGUUCUCAGAUGCCAAGCAUAAGAUCCAGACGGAACUCAAAUUCACCCUACCUGGGAAGGAAAGACAAGAUUCUGUCUACUGUGGACUCCAGGUGCGCGCACAUCAUUGUUUUGUGUCGUGAAAAGUCUCUCAGUUGUAGCUUACAAUUCAACCUACCUACUUAACACGUGACUCUGAAGGAGUCUUCAUUCUACUUUAUCCCAAUGUUGGUUGGCACUAGCUUUCACAAUAUUUGAAACUAAGAAGGCCGUCUGGUUAUUUUGUUGGAUAUGCUCCUUUUUAAUGAAAACAACAUUUCUUAUUUGUAAAAAUCACUCAUGUGCAUUGGGGUGUCAUCUAUGCUGCCUCUGUAAUGAUGGAGAACAGAAAGAAAGCACACUCCCCUCUACAACACAUUUCACUCUUCUUCUCUAGAACAUUAAAGGGAAUUGGUGGCGCGAGUGUGAAAAAUAUUGAAAAAAGUGUGAAGCGCUCACCCUCCUUUUGUCUUACUUUAAUGGCUAAGCAUCAUCAUAUGCAUGUUUCCAGAUGAAAUAAUGCCUGCUUAAUAGCUGAUUAUGAAUUUAACUUUUCUCCUCCUUUGCUAAAUUCGUUGUAGCAUACAAGUCAACUGAAGUUUUUUGUUUUUUGUUUUUUUUUUGGAUAAAAAAAAUUAGUAUUUUCAAUAGAUGAUCUUCACCUGAACUGUAUUUUUGGAAAAUGAGGAUGUGUAAGUAUUGAUAACUUAUCACCAGAUGUAACUCUGUCUUCAGGCUAUUAAUUUGACCUCUGAGCUUUUUUGCAUUCAUGAUUCUGCAAGACCUCUGGUAUCAUCAGGAUUCAGGAUGUGUUGAGAAGGUCAGACUUACCUUACUUGUAUAUCUAAUUCAUUCACGUUAUUCUGUUUUGAGUUUUGACAUUCUAUAUAAAUAGACCACCAUUUUGUGUGUACGAAUCGUUAUGCAUUGUGUCAAAGGUAUAGAGCAAUACUGCUUAUAUAAAGGCAUCAUUGUGUUUUUACACAUCCUUAUUGGAGUGCAAAAUGGGUUGGUGGUUGUGAAUUCAGUUAUUUUGGUGUAUCCUUGGAGGUUAUACGUGAAGUCAGAUUUCUUCUACGACUAUUCAAGAGACUAAUCAGAGCAAAAAUUGAAUGCUUUUAGGCUCAUAAAGAUGGUUGGUUAAAUGGCGCAACUGUACUAUGUGUUCCGGUAAAAGCGACCAUCAAAGAGGUAAUUUUGAAUCAUAAGUGACUUGCUUUCCGAUUUAUACUACUUGCUGUUUAUGAAUACAUACACUACAGCCAAUUUAUAUGAUGCAUAGGGUUUGGUUUCUCCUUAUUUUCUCUUCAGCGGAACAUGUGUGUUUGUGAAUGUAUAAUGUAGCUGCUAGUAUCUAUGUUUCCUUUUAGUUGUAUUAAAGAGGUACUACAGUAAAUUCUCAGUAAAGUCCGUUUCUCCUUUUGUCCCCACUUAAACACAUAUCAGGGGGCUUUCUACCUGUUUGCAGAACAUGAAUUCCUGCAUUUAGACCUUGUGAUACAGAAAUUCCUGUACUUUUAUGCUGGCAAACAAUGAGUCUUUUGUAGUCCGAACUCUGGACAGGAGAACACUUUGGGAAAUGCCAACACCACAGUUUUGUUGUCUAUCAAUUCUCACAGGUCAUCAAAUCUGAGUUGCUCAAAAAGGGAUUUGAGCUUGUUAACAGGUACGCUGGGACUUAUGUCGAUUUUGUUGCACAAUGUUAUAUGCAAACUGAUGUGAGAUAAAAAUAGGGGGUAAUGAGUCGAUGAUGAUAAAUGUUGAGGAUGUGAACCUUCCCAGAUCAGAAUCCCUCGAGAGUCUGGUCCUUGUUUGUGUAAUUAAAAAAAGAAACCAAGAAAAAAAAAUCUUAGGAGUUGACUCGUGUGGCUGUGAAAUACUGAUCGAGAGAGAUCAAAAUCCUGUGAUUGUGUCAUGCAAUUUUCUAUUGAAAAACAAUGUUGGACACUUGGACAUAUUUCAAUUUUUCCCAUGUUCUAAUAAUUGUAAUUUCCACAGAGGCUUGAAGUGACUGAUGACGGUCUAUUGUUGAGCACCUUCGACAUCCUGUGUACAAGGAUCUUACACAAACAUCAAGGUAGUGAAAUAUCCUGCCCUAUGCAUUUUUUGCAACUAACAUAAAUACAGAACAAAUACUCAGCACCCCAUCCUUUGAUUGGGAAGUUGGUCAUGAUGGUUUCCCUGCUAUCUCUUUCAACAUCAUUGGCAUAUAUAUUCUUCUGAGAUUUUUAAAGUGGUCAGUGAUGCUUUUGCCACUAGCUCCAGCCCUGGAGGUCUGAAUCAUACUUUGAUUGCCCCUGUCCCUAAAAUUGAUGGCCGUCAACACAUGGUGAAUUUUAGACCCAUCAGCCUUUGCACCACCAUUUAUAAAGUUAUUUCCAAAGUUAUUGUUGCCAGAAUGUCAUGAUAGCUCAAGAGAUUAGUCCUAAUCAAGUUUUGAUUAGUCCUAAUCAGGUGAGCUAUGUUCCAGGGAGAAACAUUUCUGACAAUGUCAUGAUAGCUCACAAGAGAUGUUAUUCAAGUUUAAAAAAUCCAAAGGUAAGCAGGGUUUCUUUGCCUGGAAAAUUGAUCUGUCUAAAUCCUAUGAUAGACUUAGUUGGAAUUUUAUUGAGAUGGUCUUGUAUGAAGCCAAAUUUCCUAGAACUCUUGUCAAACUUAUCAUGCAUUGUGUCACUUCAACUAGUUUUCAGAUAUGUCUGAAUGGUGAGUUAACUAGUUAUUUCAUGGCGAAAAGAGGAAUUAGGCAAGGUGAUCCCCUUUCACCUUACAUCUUUGUUGUGUAUGGAGAUGCUAUCCGAUCUCAUCCAUUCUGCUGUGGAAUAUGGUCACUGGAAGUCUGUAAAUGCUUCUCAAUCUGGCCCCAGAAUUUCUCACUUAUUUUUUGUGGAUGAUCUUAUGUUGUUUGCUGAAGCCACUGAGCAUCAGGCUUAUGGUUUGAAAACUUGUCUUGAUAAUUUCUGUGCUAUUUCUGGACAAAUUAUUAGUUAUGAGAAGUCUUUAAUUUUCUGCUCUCCUAACACCACUAAGACUAUGGCUAGCAGUAUCAGCGCCACAUGUGGUUCCCCUCUCACUUCUGACCUUGGUAAAUACCUAGGUAUGCCUCUCAUUCAUUCCAGAGUCAAUAAGCACACUUAUGAUGCUAUCUUUUAUAAGGUCCAAAGUAGAUUGUCAAGUUGGAAAAGCAAGGUCCUGAACAUGGCAGGCAGACUGACUUUGAUUCAAUCUGUCACUUCUGCUAUUCCUAAUUAUGCCAUGCAAACUACUAAAUUUCCUGUGAGUCUUUGUGACAGGUUGGAUAAGUUGAAUAGGAACUUUCUCUGGGGAGAUGUUGAUGAUAAGAAGAAAUUAAGUCCAUUUGGUGAAUUAAGACAUUGUAUGUCGGCCGAAACAACUUGGAGGUUUGGGAAUCUAAAAGUCUGCCGAUAUGAACCAAGCUAUGCUUGCCAAGAUUAGCUGGAGAAUGUUUGACAAUGACAAGGGUUUAUGGGCCUCCAUGUUCUCUGAAAAGUACCUCAAAAACUGCAGCAUUUUUGAGGAUCAGUAUAUGCCCUCUUCUGAUUGUUCUAGCACCUGGAGAGCCAUCAUUCAUGGAGCUGAGCUUAUCAGGUACAAUUUAAAAUGGCGUGUUGGCGACGGUACUUCUAUCAGGUUCUGGUAUGACAGUUAUUUUCUGAGGCUCUUAUUAAUUUUCUUCACCCUUCAGCCAUUAUUAACAGAAAUUCUUAUGUCUGUGAUUUUUGGAAUGACGAGGGCUGGAAUAUUCCUCUCUUAAUGAUUCUGUCCCUGCGGAUGUUAAUCAAAUUAUUAAUGUGCCUACUCGCUUUGCAAAUUCUGGGAGGGAUACUUUGAUAUGGGGAUCUACAGCUAAUGGUUGCUUUUCAGUUAAAUCUGCCUAUAACUCCCUUUUUGAUUUCUCAAAUUCUCAAAAUUCUCAAUGGAAAUUGAUUUGGAAUCUUGAUAUUCCUCCCAAGCUGAAAAAUUUCCUUUGGACUAUGCUUCAUAAAUCUAUGCAGAUCUAUGCAGAUUUGGAGAGCUUUCCCUAAGCCUGGUAUAAUUUCUAAAGCUUUUUUCCUGGAUUGAAAUGGUUGGAUAAAUGCUCAUCUGCAUUGCCAUGCUUUUGUUAAAAAUAAUAUCAUGGAUUUCUAUUCCUUAUUCAAUUUGGGAACACAGAAAGUUGUCAGGAACCGGUAAGCUCUGCUUCUUUCUCUUCUAAAUCAGUGUCAUCAAUGAUCUUUUUAAAUCUACAUAUAUAUGGCCUUAUAUUGAAUCUUAAUUGAAGCCAUGUGAAAACAUUAUGGGAUCACUUUUGCUACAUACAUGUGUAUGGAAGUCCUAGAAUUUUACCUUUUUAUCAUAUUCUUAUAUUUGAUCCCAUGAUUGUUUACUUUUUUGAGUCUCUUAACAAUGAAUAUAUUUUGCAGGCAGCUGUUCUUAUGUGUGUGUGUGUGGGUUUGUGGGCUGGACUUAUCAUCGAAUUUUGUAACAGAGUAUAAUACCAGUAAUGUGUACAUGUAACUGUAUACUCAAUAUGCGAAACUUGUUCUUCUAUCAAUUGUUUAAAUUUUCAAUUAUUCUACUGUAUACUCAGUAUGCGGAACUUGUUCUUCUUUCAAUCAUUUAAAUUUUCAGUUAUUCUGAUUUGGGUAGUGCAGAAACCAGAGUCUGUAAUAUUGAAAGAGAGAAGCGUUUCGGUGAUUCUUUUGGCCGGAGGGAAGGUACAAGCCUACAAGGAUGGGAGUCCUCUUCUGGCACCAUUUUGAUACAUCAACUAUAUUUUUAGAGUGUGAUGAGGCCUUUUUGUUAUGUCGGUGCAACUAGGUCAGCAUGCUGAAACAACAUCUCCCGCUUUUAAGCUAGCCAAUUGCAUUGUGCAGGUAACUUAUUCAACCAAUGCUUUUAUAUGAUUUUACAUUGCGUCGAUUGAGCUGAUGAACUCACUGAAAUGCUGAUUCCGUAUGUUUCUUUAGAACCUAAUGAUAGGGAUUUCUUUAGUGUAGUUUCCGGCCCUUAAGGCUGUUUUGUGUUUGUCAUCUUUCCUAUUUUUUCUGUUACUCUUCUGAAUGAGUAUUUUACCAACCCCGUGUAGCUUCUAUACUUUCUCCCGCAUGCCUCAAGAGAAGGAAAUCAUUGUAGUUUGUGAUCCGUCCUACAGGGAUGUUAUUGAAGGAUCCAUUCCUCUCUUUCUAACGUGCAUUUGCCUCUUUGGCGUGUUUGUCUGUUGGGUGUAGUGCUGUAGGACACAUGUAUUCUGAUUUGGUUUCAGUUGUGUUCUCAGAUGCCAAGCAUAAGAUCCAGAUGGAACUCCAAUUCACCCUGCCUGGGAAGGAAAGUCAAGAUUCUGUCUACAGAAGACUCCAGGUGCGCGCACAUCAUUGUUUUGUCUUGUGAAAAGUCUCUCAGUUGUAGCGUACAAUUCAACCUACCUACUUAACACAUUACUCUGAAGUCUUCAUUCUACUUAAUCCCAAUGUUGGUUGGCACUAGCUUUCACAAUAUUUGAAACUAAGAAGGUCGUCUGGUUAUUUUGUUGGAGUUGCUCCUUUUUAAUGAAAACAACAUUUCUUAUUUGUAAAAAUCACUCAUGUGCAUUGUGAUGUCAUCUAUGCUGCCUCUGUAAUGAUGGAGAAUAGAAAGAAAGCACACUCCCCUCUACAACACAUUUCACUCUUAGACUCCUUCUCUAGAACAUUAAAGGGGAUUGGUGGUGCGAGCGUGAAAAAUAUUGAAAAUAGUGUGAAGCUCACCCUCCUUUUGUCUUACUUUAAGGGCUAAGCAUUCAGCAUAUGCAUGUUUCCAGACGAAAUAAUGUCUGCUUAAUACCUGAUUAUGAAUUUAACUUUUCUCCGCCUUUGCUAAAUUAGUUGUAGCAUACAAGUCAACUGAAGUUCUUUAUUUUGGUUUUGGAUAAAAGAAAUUAGUAUUUUCAAUAGGUGAUCUUCACCUGAACUGCAUUAUUGGAAAAUGAGGAUGUGUAAGUAUCGAUAACUUAUCAUCAGAUGCAACUCUGUCUUCAGGCUAUUAAUUUGACCUUUGAACUUUUUUGCAUCCAUGAUUCUGCAAGACCUCUGGUAUCAUCAGGAUUCUGGAGGUGUUGAGAAGGUCAGACUUACUUUACUUGUAUAUCUAAUUCAUUCGCGUUAUUCUGUUUUGAGUUUUGACAUUCUAUAUAAAUAGUUCACCAUUUUGUGUGUACGAAUCGUUAUGCAUUGUGUCAAAGGUAUAGAGCAAUACUGCCUAUAUAAAGGCAUCACUGUUUGAAACUAUUAUAUAAAUGUUUUUACACAUCCUUAUUGGAGUGCAUAACGGGUUGGUGGUUGUGAAUUCAGUUAUUUUGGUGUAUCCUUGGAGCCUUGGAGGUUAUACGUGAAGUCAGAUUUCUUCACUGUCACUACUGCUAAUGGUUGCUUUUCAGUUAAAUCUGCCUACAACUCCGUUUUUGAUUUCUCAAAUUCUCAUAAUUGUCAAUGGAAGUUGAUUUGGAAUCUUGAUAUUCCUCCCAAGCUGAAAACUUUCCUUUGGACUAUGCUUCAUAAAAAGCUGUUAACUAAUGUUCAAAGGGUCACUAGAAGAUUUACCAAGAAUGCUACUUGUCCUAUAUGCCACUCUGCUGAUGAAACUCUUCUUCAUCUUCUAAGGGCUUGUCCUAGAUCUAUGCAGAUUUGGAGAGCUUUCCCUAAGCCUGAUAUAAUUUCUAACUCUUUUUCCCUGGAUUGGAAUGGUUGGAUAAAUGCUCAGCUGCAUUGCCAUCCUUUUGUUAAAACUAAUAUCAUGGAUUUCUGUUCCUUCUUCCUUCACCAUCUUCAAUUUGGGAACACAGAAAGUUGUCAAGAACCGGUAAGCUCUGCUUCUUUCUCUUCUAAAUCAGUGUCAUCAAUGAUCUUUUUAAAUCUUCAUAUAUGGCCUUAUAUUGAAUCUUAAUUUAAGCCAUGUGAAAACAUUAUGCGAUCACUUUUGCUACAUACAUGUGCAUGGAAGUCCUAGAAUUUUACCUUUUUAUCAUAUUCUUAUAUUUGAUCCCCUGAUUGUUUACUUUAUUUGAGUCUCUUAACAAUGAAUAUAUUUUGCAGGCAGCUGUUCUUAUGUGUGUGUGUGUGUGGGUUUGUGGGCUGGACUUAUCAUCGAAUUUUGUAACAGAGUAUAAUACCAGUAAUGUGUACAGGUAAUUGUAUACUCAUUAUACGAAACUUGUUCUUCUAUCAACCGUUUAAAUUUUCAAUUAUUCUACUAUAUACUCAGUAUGCGGAACUUGUUCUUCUUUCAAUCGUUUAAAUUUUCAGUUAUUCUGAUUUGGGUAAUGCAGAAACCGGAGUCUGUAAUAGUGAAAGAGAGAAGCGUUUCAGAGAUUCUUUUGGCCGGUGGGAAGGUACAAGGAUGGGAGUCCUCUUUUGUCACCAUUUUGAUACAUCAACUAGUUUUUUUGGAGUGUGACGAGGCCUUUUUGUUAUGUUGGUGCAACUAGGCCAGUAUGCUGAAACAGUAUCUCCCGCUUUUAAGCCAGCCAAUUGCAUUGUGCAGGUAACUUAUUCAACCAAUGCUUUUAUAUGAUUUUACAUUGCGUCGAUUGAGCUGAUGAACUCACUGAAAUGCUGAUUCCGUAUGUUUCUUUAAAAUCUAAUGACAGGGUAUUUUUUUAGUGUUGUUUCCGGCCCUUAAGGCUGUUUAUGUUUGCAUCUUUGUUCUUUUUUUUUUUUUUUUUCUUUCCUGUUACUCUUCUGAAUGUGUAAUUUGCCAACCCCGUGUUGGUUAUAUACUUUCUCCCGCAUGCCUCAAGUGAAGGAAAUCAUUGUUGUUUGUGAUCCGUCCUUUAGGGAUGUUAUUGAAGGAUCCAUUCCUUACUUUCUAACGUGCAUUUGCCUCUUUGGCGUGUUUGUCUGUUGGGUGUAGUGCUGUAGGACACAUGUAUUCUGAUUUGGUUUCAGUUGUGUUCUCUGAUGCCAAGCAUAAGAUCCACACGGAACUCAAAUUCACCCUACCUGGGAAGGAAAGACAAGAGUCUGUCUACAGUGGACUCGAGCAGGUGCACGCACAUCAUUGUUUUGUCUUGUGAAAAGUCUCUCAGUUGUAGCGUACAAUUCAACCUACCUACUUAAAACAGUACUCUGAAGUCUUCAUUCUACUUAAUCCCAUUGUUGGUUGGCACUAGCUUUCACAAUAUUUGAAACUAAGAAGGCCGUCUGGUUAUUUUGUUGGGUUGCUCCUUUUUAAUGAAAACAAGAUUUCUUAUUUGCAAAAAUCACUCAUGUGCAUUGUGGUGUCAUCUAUGCUGCCUCUGUAAUGAUGGAGAAUAGAAAGAAAGCACACUCCCCUCUACAACACAUUUCACUCUUAGACUCCUUCUCUAGAACAUUAAAGGGGAUUGGUGGUGCGAGUGUGAAAAAUAUUGAAAAUAGUGUGAAGCUCACCCUCCUUUUGUCUUACUUUAAUGGCUAAGAAUUCAGCAUAUGCAUGUUUCAGCACGAAAUAAUGUCUGCUUAAUACCUGAUUAUGAAUUUAACUUUUCUCCGCCUUUGCUAAAUUAGUUGUAGCAUACAAUUCAACUAAAGUUCUUUAUU
rnacentral:lncRNA from 1 species